UCUUUUUUUAAAUCCAUUUCAAAGUUCAUUAUGCCAUUCCAGAGACUAGUGCUGAUAAAAUCCUCAUCUGGAUUCAAGAUAUUGGCAGAAAGACUAAUUCCUCAAGUCUCUGGCACCAAGAUACUCACAUCUGUGUGAAUCAGCACUUGGUGAUGACUCGGCCAUCCCUCAGCAUUCAGCAUUGGUCACAGGGACUCCUUCAGAUCAUAGUGUCUUCUGGACUAGGUUGCUGGCACCUUCUGUUUGCUGAAUAAACUUAACACACGAAGUUCUUUCCAAAAUUUUGACAAUCUCUUUUGGUUAGUACCAAAGCAAAUAGGGAAGAUCUUGGGAAGAGGGCACUCCCAUCUCUUUCCACAAAUCUGUUAUCCAAACAGAUACAAAGGCUACAGAAGCAUUUUUCCUUGAACUUUUAAUUGAAGUGCUUUAAUAUAAAAAAACCAGUACAUACAAGUUCUAAACUCCUGUUUUCUGCAGUUGUUUACACGUUUUCUAAGUUGCAACAGAAUAUUAGCUAUGUAGGUAGUCAACACUGCUAACAAACUA